UACAGAGGUCCCAAGCGUUGUUCGGAUUCACUGGGCGUAAAGGGUGCGUAGGUGGUGAGGUAAGUCGGAUGUGAAAUCUCCGAGCUCAACUCGGAAACUGCCGUUGAUACUAUUUGUCUUGAAUAUUGUGGAGGUAAGCGGAAUAUGUCAUGUAGCGGUGAAAUGCUUAGAUAUGACAUAGAACACCAAUUGCGAAGGCAGCUUACUACACAACGAUUGACGCUGAGGCACGAAAGCGUGGGGAUCAAACAGG
rnacentral:rRNA from 1 species